GCAGCACUUAUAGCAUUCCCGUUUCCCAUUGGCUAGUCAUUGUUUUGUUAGCUACAUUAGCCUCUUUAGCAAACCAGCUCGAAAACACAACUUGACUUUGUAUUGCACACACAGCUAGCCGUGCAAUGCAUACAUUGACUUCACAGGUGGGCGUGUCCACCUAGUACACAUCUAGGUGGACACGCCCACCUGUGAGGUCAUAAGGGACAGAUUUCCAGAACGGCUUGAAAAACGGCUAAUCAACCCACACGUGUUGGCAUGUCAUGGGACCUUUAUGAGAAUAGCGAUUCCAGCAGCUGUUGGAUUUUAGUGUUGAUGGUAAACAUGCAUGUACUAAUUGUACAGCCAUUUAUAAGUAACUUACUUAUUAUCUUACUGUUGCCAUCUAAAAUGCAGUUUUGCAGUUUGCAGAUGAUUAUCUCCGCUACGGAGACAUCAGUGAUGUCGAGACAUUUCCACGGGCUGUUCAUCAGGCACGGUUGCAUGUUGCUACUGAGCUGCUUCAGUGUAAGGUCGGUGGCAUCAAACGCUGCACGAGAGCAGUGCCAUCAAAAUAGUUUCGUAGUCAAAAUCCAUACAAAUUCCCUCCCCUCAGUCACAUAAGGUGAUCAGUCUAUCAGUCAGGGGAAUGCAGAGGACUUCUGUGUGGUGUGCUCCUUUGCCGAAGAAAAUGCAGAUGAGAGCAUGAUUGAAAAGGUGCAGUGUGGAUUGUGAAGUCGGUGGCCAAAUUUUGAGUGUGCCCAAUAUGCCCAUGAAAAUAAGGCUGUAUAUAUUUGCAAGAAAUGCCUUAAAAUAAAAUAAAGAUUUGAGAUCUUUUGGCGGUUUUUAUUAUUGGAUCUUUU
ensembl:lncRNA